AUCCAACUGACGAGUCCCAUAUAGGACGAAACGCGCGUCCUGGAU
rfam:Schistosoma mattheei strain Denwood, Zambia genome assembly, scaffold: SMTD_scaffold0006817